rnacentral:rRNA from 1 species
AGAGGGGGCAAGCGUUAUUCGGAAUUAUUGGGCGUAAAGGGCGCGUAGGCGGCUUUGCAAGUGACGGGUGAAAUCCCUCGGCUUAACCGAGAAACUGCCUGUCAAACUGUAUGGCUUGAGACCGGGAGAGGUGAGUGGAAUUCCCAGUGUAGCGGUGAAAUGCGUAGAUAUUGGGAGGAACACCAGUGGCGAAGGCGGCUCACUGGACCGGUACUGACGCUGAUGCGCGAAAGCGUGGGGAGCAAACAGGAUUAGAUACCCUGGUAGUCCACGCCGUAAACGAUGAGUGCUUGGUGUAGCGGGUAUCGACCCCUGCUGUGCCGAAGUCAACACAUUAAGCACUCCGCCUGGGGAGUACGGUCGCAAGGCUG